rnacentral:rRNA from 1 species
GACGAACGCUGGCGGCGUGCCUAAUACAUGCAAGUCGAACGCAGUGGGGACGGGUGAGUAACACGUGGGUAACCUCCCAUCAGAGGGGAUAACACUUGGAAACAGGUGCUAAACCGAUACUGAUGGAUGGACCCGCGGUGCAUUAGCUAGUUGGUGAGGUAACGGCCUACCAAGGCGACGCUCCGUAACUGGUCUGAGAGGGUGAGCAGUCACACGGGAACUGAGACACGGUCCAGACUCCUACGGGAGGCAGCAGUGGGGAAUAUUCGACAAUGGGCGAAAGCCUGAUCCAGCCAUGCCGCGUGUGUGAAGAAGGUUUUCGGAUUGUAAAGCACUUUUGGUUGGGAGGCGGUACCAACAGAGUAAGCACCGGCUAACUACGUGCCAGCCGCCGCGGUAAUAC